GCAUGACGAAAAGCUCCGCUCAUCACCAUCCUCGGCGCCGAUCUACUAUCCUCAAAGGCCCUUUUUAUUUCCGUCCAACCAGAUAUGAUAGAUCUGGUAUGCCCUCCUGGUCUUCUUCUCGAUACCUACCUGUGGAAGGGGAACAGAGGAACACUUCCAAAUCUAUAUUGCCCUGGGACAUCAGUCUUCCCAGAGUCCAAGCACAUCUUACAAUAUAGAGUGAUCCGUAUACCUCGUUCCGCUAGCAUCCUGGUCGUCCGCUAGCCUGCCACGUUUUCGUGCCCACAUCUCUGAGAGUGGAAAAAGGACAAAAAUCCACUUCCCGACCAUCCCCACCACCCCCUCGAUCUCCCAACAAGCUCCACACAAAAACCUGCACCUCUGCUGCGCCAAGGAAAAAAGAAAAAAAAAACUUGUCAAACUGCUAUCUUUGCUCGGCCUCUCGUAUUAGAGUGAUUCAGAGCUUGAUUCUAGAGUAGACCAGUACUUUGUUUUCUCCAUUGUACCUUUGUUCUUCUUGGGCAUCGAUAUCAAGUGGCUAUGGCGCUCUUGCACACUGCUCCCCUUCCUUCUUCAAGUCCUCACUCAAAGAUUCACCUCCCAGCUUUCACCUCCGGUUCCCUUUCGCUAGUCUUGUCACCUUCUGCUCUCCAUAACAAUAUCAAGCAGAGGAGAAGGAGUAGUAGGAGGGUGGUGGCUUCGGCCUCCGAUGCGGCUGCCGGGAGUGCGGGGACAGCACGGCCGAACACGCCAGCUUCUCCUCCGAAGCUCCGCAUCCUGAUUGCCGGCGGUGGGAUCGGGGGGCUGGUGUUUGCGCUGGCGGCGAAGAGGAAGGGUUUCGAUGUGCUGGUCUUCGAGAAGGACGUGAGCGCCAUUAGAGGGGAGGGGCAGUACAGGGGCCCAAUUCAGAUUCAGAGCAAUGCGUUGGCUGCGCUGGAAGCUAUUGAUCCGGAGGUCGCGGAGGAGGUGAUGGAGGCGGGGUGCAUCACGGGGGACCGGAUAAAUGGUCUUGUGGAUGGGAUAUCUGGAACUUGGUACAUCAAAUUUGAUACAUUUACUCCUGCAGUGGAACGUGGCCUUCCUGUUACAAGAGUUAUUAGCCGCAUGACCUUGCAAGAAAUAUUGGCCCGGGCAGUUGGUGCUGAUGUUAUUGUAAAUGACAGUACUGUUGUUGAUUUUACUGAAGACGGAGAUAGGGUUACUGUUAUACUUGAGAAUGGACAGCGGUAUGAAGGUGAUCUUUUAGUUGGAGCUGAUGGAAUAUGGUCGAAGGUGCGCAAGAUCCUAUUUGGAGCCACAGAAGCAUCUUAUUCAGGCUACACCUGCUACACUGGUAUUGCAGAUUUUGUGCCCCCAGAUAUUGAAACUGUUGGGUACCGAGUAUUUCUGGGUCACAAACAAUAUUUUGUAUCUUCAGAUGUGGGUGCUGGAAAAAUGCAAUGGUAUGCAUUUCACAAGGAACCACCUGGUGGCACUGAUGCUCCAAAUGGUAGAAAGGAAAGGUUGCUUAAAAUAUUUGGUGGUUGGUGUGAUAAUGUCAUAGACUUGUUAGUUGCAACUAAUGAGGAUGCGAUUCUUCGCCGUGACAUAUAUGAUCGUGUACCUAUUAUGAGCUGGGGAAGGGGUCGUGUGACUUUGCUUGGAGAUUCUGUCCAUGCUAUGCAGCCUAAUAUGGGACAAGGUGGUUGCAUGGCUAUUGAGGAUAGUUACCAACUUGCUCUAGAACUUGAGAAAGCAUGGAUUGAAAGUGCUAGAACUGGAGCUCCUAUAGAUAUCACAUCUCCGCUAAAGCGUUAUGAGAAUGAAAGAAGACUUCGUGUCGCUAUUGUAUAUGGAAUGGCUAGAAUGGCUGCAAUAAUGGCUUCCACUUACAGGCCAUAUCUGGGUGUAGGACUGGGACCCUUGUCGUUUUUGACCAAGUUCCGAAUACCACAUCCCGGAAAAGUUGGUGGAAGAUUUUUUAUCAAGCUUGCUAUGCCAGCAAUGCUGAGCUGGGUUCUUGGUGGUAACAGUUCAAAACUUGAAGGGAGGUCAUUAAGCUGCCGACUCUCUGACAGGGCAAGUGACCAGUUACAACGGUGGUUUAAGGAUGAUGAUGCGCUGGAGCGAGCUCUUAGCGGAGAGUGGUAUCUCUUUCCAACUAACGGUUCCUUGCAACCCAUUCAUUUGAUCAAAGAUGAGAAAAUGCCAAUUAUUAUUGGAAAUCAGUCUCAUGCCGAUAUGCCAGGUGUGUCAGUAGUCUUGCCUUCACCAGAGGUAGCAGAUAUUCAUGCUUGUAUAAGUUGCAAGGAAAACGCCUUUUUCUUGACUAAUAUGCAGAGCCAAUAUGGUACCUGGAUCAUUGACAAUGAAGGGAGGCGGUAUCUAGUGCCUCCCAACUUUUCUGUUCGUUUCCACCCAUCAAAUGUGAUUGAAUUUGGCUCUGAUAAGAAGGCUAUAUUUCGUGUGAAGGUUCUAAAGACACUUCCAGAAAACUUGACGGGUGAGGGGCGACAAAUCUUGCAGGCAGCUUGAGUGCCGAUGAAGACCGUUACACACAAGAAUUAUGCAGCAUGCAGCCACACAGCAAUAUAUUAUAGUUUAGCUGUUGACUACAGCAAGGAUAUGGCAUGUCAUCACCUAUUUUAUUAGGCAUCUCUCCGCAACAAAGGAUCGAGCACCGGGUUCAGAUAAUUUGAAGGUUGCUUCUUUUUUCAGAGUACUUAUGCAUAUAGUUACCUGUUUCCUCUUCACUUUGUCCAUACUCACACUGAACCUGUUAAAUUGAUGAUGCAAUUAACGUGUCGCAAUAUGAAAAAGAAGUUGGGCAUCCAUUAUUGGCAGAGCAGCCUUUUAUUCCUAGUAUGAACUAAUAGCCUAUAGAAGGUUCAAAGUUUCAGUCUUCUUUUCCUACUUGAGAAUUUUAUAUGGGCGGUGCAUAAACAUUUAGUCUAUUCAUGGUU